GUGAACGCUGGCGGUAGGCCUAACACAUGCCCGUCGCACGGCAGCACAGUAAGAGCUUGCUCUUACGGGUGGCGAGUGGCGGACGGGUGAGGAAUACAUCGGAAUCUACUUUUUCGUGGGGGAUAACGUAGGGAAACUUACGCUAAUACCGCAUACGACCUACGGGUGAAAGCAGGGGAUCUUCGGACCUUGCGCGAUUGAAUGAGCCGAUGUCGGAUUAGCUAGUUGGCGGGGUAAAGGCCCACCAAGGCGACGAUCCGUAGCUGGUCUGAGAGGAUGAUCAGCCACACUGGAACUGAGACACGGUCCAGACUCCUACGGGAGGCAGCAGUGGGGAAUAUUGGACAAUGGGCGCAAGCCUGAUCCAGCCAUACCGCGUGGGUGAAGAAGGCCUUCGGGUUGUAAAGCCCUUUUGUUGGGAAAGAAAAGCAGCAGGUUAAUACCCCGCUGUUCUGACGGUACCCAAAGAAUAAGCACCGGCUAACUUCGUG
rnacentral:rRNA from 1 species